CAGGGCAUACCUGGAAUCUUCACACUCAAAGACUGAGGCAGAAAGAUUGUUGUUAGUUCGAGACUGGUACAGACUACAACAUGAGAUAUUAUCUCUGAUAAAAUAAUGAAAAUUCAGUAAAGUUAAAAUAUUUAAUUAAAAAUAUGUUGACAUAGUUCUUAUUUUUUUUGGUUUUUCAAGACAGGGUUUUUCAGUGUAACAGCCCUAGCCGCCCUGGAGCUAGCUGUGUAGACCAAGCUGGCCUCAAACUCACAGAGGUCCACCUGCCUCUGCCUCCCAGGUGCUGGGAUUAAAGCAUGCGCCACAGCCAUCUGGUGUGUUGACACAGUUCUAUAAUUUCAGCAUUUGGGAAGUAAAAACAGGAAUAUCAAGUUCAAGGCUAGCCUUGGCAAUGGGAGACCUUAUCUCAAAACAUUUUAACAGGUCAUCCUGAACUGUAGAAGAACUUCAAGGUCAGCCUUGGCAGCUUAGUGAGGAUCUCUCAAAAUAUAACUCGAGUUUGAGGCUAGCCCAAGAUAGGUAAGACUCUCCUUGUAACAAAAGAAAAAGUUUUCAAGGCAGAAGCCAGGUAUGUUAGCCAUACCUGUACCUGUAAGCCCAGCUAUUAAUAAACCUAAAACAGGAAGAUAGAAAAGUUCAAGGCCAGGCUGGAUAGAUAGUUCAAUGGUUAGGGUCCCUGUAAUUCUGGCUCCAAGGGACCCAACACCCUCUUGAUGAUUCUGCAGGAACCUGCACUCAGAUAUGGAUAAGCCUACAUACAGAUGCACACAUAUGUACAUAAUUAAAAAUAAAAUAAUUCUUUAGAAAAAAAUAAAUUCAAGGCCUGCCUCACCAUAGAAGUUUGUCAUGGGAUCCUGUUUUAAACUAAACUUUUAAAGGACUUCUGAGAGUAGGUGGGGUGGGGAGAGAUGACUCUGAAAGAGGAUCACAGUUUAGUUCCCAGCAUCCAUAGUAGUGGUUUGCAGCCACCUGUAAUUCCAGCUCCAGAGACCUUUUCAUUUGGCCUCUGAGGGCAAAUAUGCACACACACAUAUACACAUAAAUAAAAAAAUAAAUCUGGAAAGGGGGCUGAGAAACUGAGUGUGGUGGUGUAUACCUAUAGUGCUAGCUAGUACUUGAGAGACAAAGGCAAGAGAAUUGGACAUUAAAGUUAUCCUCGGCUACACAGCAAGUCAGUGCCUGUUGCAAUACAAAAGACCUUGUGUCAAAAAAGAAAACAUCCCGGGUUGUGGUGGCACACACGUUUAAUCCCAGCACCCAGGAGGCAGAGGCAAGAGGAUCUCUAUGAGUUGGAGGCCAGCUUGAUCUACAGAGUGAGUUCCAGGACAGCCAGGCUAGUCAAGGCUAUACAGUGAAACCAUGUCUGGGGCGGGGGAAAAAGACAAAACAGAGGAAAAGAAGGCUGAGGAUACAGCUCAGCAGUAGCGUGUUUGCCUCAUAUGCAUAAGGUUCAGUCUGAAGUACUGCUCAUGCAAAUAUUUUCAAGAUAGGGCGCUAUGUUUUGGGAAUAUUUAAUGGUAAAAUGGAGAGAACAUUGAUUCCUAUGGCAAAGUCCUAGAUUUAGUCAUGUCCUUUUUUUCUAUCAUUGAUACAUUAAUUUAUUUGAGGGUGGUGUACCAUGCCAUUUAUACAGAGGUCAACCUAUGGAAGUCAGAGUUUUUCUACCACUGUGAAGGUUCUAGUUGUUGAACUCGGGUUGUCAGACUUGAGGGCAAGCAUCUUUUCCUGCUGAGCCACCAGGCCCUAGGUCCUUUUGUUAUUAUUCAUAAGCUGUCUAAUUUUGGUCAGGUCACUUAAGGUUCUGUUUUGUCAUCUGCCAAAUGAACAUGCUGAUAAUAGCAUAUCCACUUCACAGUGUUGUCUUAGGAUUAAGAAGAGAGAAUGUGCACAUGAGCACUGAAUAAGCUAGGAUCAUUGUACAAGUGUCAGUUCAUGGGGUGGGCUUUUCUGAGUCUUUUCAUUGCUUACCCAUUUUUAGAAAAUAUUAUUCCCCUCUUUUAUUUCAUUAGAAUGAAGUCCAAACUGCCAAGGAGUUUAUUAAAAUCAUAGAGAGUGCAGAAAAUGAGUAUCAGACAGCAAUUAGUGAAAACUAUCAGACAAUGUCAGACACCACGUUCAAGGCCUUGCGCCGGCAGCUUCCAGUUACCCGCACCAAAAUCGACUGGAACAAGAUACUCAGUUACAAGAUUGGCAAAGAAAUGCAGAAUGCUUAAAGGCCAACUGUAGAAGUCUCCAGUACAAAGAAAGAAAAGGAUUCAACAUGGUGUGGUCAUAUGAUCAAUAAGUGAUUUAUAAACAAACAAGAGUGAUAUUUUGCUAGUUAACAAAGUUAACAGAUCUUCUAGCCUCAUGGAAUACUGUUGAGCCUACAGCACUGUCUUGAUUCUUUUGUGUGUGUGUGUUCUCUGCCUUGUAAUUUUCUGUUAUCACUAUAUCUACUUGUAAAUCUUUUUUUUUUAAUUCUGCUACAUUUAAUGUCAAAGAGAUCUAUCCUGAAGUCAUUUUACUGUUUAGAAAAUUUCCUAGCCAUGACGUCCUGUUGCUGGUUUUUACAGAGUAUUUGGUCAGUACUUUGUACCCCAUACUUUAAAGCAUUUCCAGUGCUUCAGUGGCUUUUACUGAUCCACCAGUUGCUAAAGAGGCUAUGUUAUGAACUGUAACUAAGUGGACGACACACUCCUCUGUCUGACUGCUUUGAUUGUUUAUAGCAUCUCACAAUUAUAGUUUUCAUACAUUUGGAUUGGGGCUUUUUGGGUCCAUGUUGGGAGGCAAAGGAAGUUUCUUGAAUAUUCCAUGGCAGCAGCUUCUCUGGGAACUUGUUUUUAAAUUCCAAAGACUUGAACCACAUCCCCUGCACAUGAACGUUUAUUUUCAUUCUCUCGUCUCCUCCCAUAUACUUCCAUUGUAGCCAUAGAUGUCUGCAGGAAGUGCAGCUUAGAGAAUGCAUUGGGGGAAACCAGGAUUGUCAGUCAGUCACAUGGGCCUAUUUUCUUUAAUGGAAAGAAAUGCCUGAUCACCUGGAAUGAUGGAAUGACAGGAUCAAACAACCUGGUGAUCCUUGCUAUUCUGUUAGAGGCCAACCUCCAACUGAAGCCCCACCCCUUCCCACACACAAUAUUCUGAGCAUUGUUUAGGCCCUAGUCCUGGGCUUGUCUCUCAGUGAAUAGAACUUAUGUCUAUUACAUAUCCUUCCUUUCUAGGCCUCAGCCCUAUGUUUGUCAGUCAUUAACUCAUUCUUAUUGUAAAGACACAGGUGCUUUACUAUUUGGCAAGGGAAUUUUGAUAUAGCUAGCCCUGAAGCUUUGUUUUGAGAAUUGUCAUGUGGAGACUUUUUUUCCCAAAGUUCUAUUAUGUUUAAAUGUGUGAAAAAAUUAAAACACAGGAUCAGAUUGUAGAAGUCUUGAUCCUGUCUGACCAAGUCUGGCUGCCUCAAGUUUUCAUUCUGUCUCUUCUUGGUCCACUUCCCUGUCAGUGGCAGUACCUGCAGGAAUGCCUCAACAGAUGUCAGCUUUUUUAGAAGAGUUUUGCCCAUUUGUAUUUCUGUUUAAUAUUCAAGAACUGGUGACAUACUGUGGAUGUAGUAGAGUAUAAAACUUGAAAACCACAGGUGCUGAAGGGAUGAUGGGUAGCUGUGUUUCAAUGCUCUCUGGCAGGCCAUGUUACCCACAAAGCUGGAAUGAACCAAAGUCAAAGUGAACUCCUAGGCAGUGUCUGUCUGCCAUCACCUGGAUUUCAGAGAAUGCUAGUGCUUUCUCCUACUAGACGAGAUAUAAAACUCAUUCCAAAUUACUUUCUCCAUCAUCCUGUAACUGUGAUAUAGCUAUCUUCCCAGGUAUGUUGGAGGUAUGCAUGUGAGAUCUCAGAGCACACAGGUAAUGUGAUGUGACCUAUGACAACUGGCAAUGGUGGGCUCAUUUACAUUGUUUACAUUUCUAUGACCAGGCCUUAGGGGAAGGUCAAUUUUUUAAAAAACCAAGUAGUGUCUUCCUACCUGUCUCCAAACACAAGUCAAAACAGAAGGGUGUUUGCUUCAGCUUUGUUUUUUGCUUAGUAAUACAGUCAAGCAGGAGUUUGUUUGCGGAUGAAAGCUGUGUAAGCAUUUUUGUUUAUUUCAAAUAAAAUAUAUUUGUAUUAUU